rnacentral:rRNA from 1 species
ANCCCUUUCACCANCGGAUCUCUUGGCUCUCGCAUCGAUGAAGANCGCAGCGAAAUGCGAUAAGUAAUGUGAAUUGCAGAAUUCAGUGAAUCAUCGAAUCUUUGGACGCACCUUGCGCUCCUUGGUAUUCUGAGGAGCAUGCCUGUUUGAGUGUCAUUAA